GUAGAUUGUCACUGUCAGUCGACGAAUACUACCGGGUUACUGCAGUUCCUUCUACACAGCAAGACGUCCAACACAUGCGCUCAUCGGUUAAAAGUGACCGGAUAUGAACAAUCAUCCGGAUUCCUCCAGUGCAUUCAUGAGAGCUAAAGGAGUAACCGCCCACUACGGAUCACAUCACUCAGAACAGAUUCACAGCAGCUGCUGGAGUAGCUGUGCGGAACGCCUUCCUCCGGCUCGGACAGCGGCCCCCUGCCAUUCUCCUCUGGACCCCUCUUGCCCUUGUUCCUUCUUCCCAGCAUGUCGUUGUGCUGGCUGGGCUUCAUAGAGCAGUCCAUCUGAGGGGAACAAAUUCACUGGGAAACAUCCCACUGACUAGUGGAACAGCAGCUGAUGAAGCCUCAGCCCAGCCUGUGUUUGAACCGGUCUCCACGGUAACACUGAUUGGCCAUAAUUAGCAUCAAGAGUGACAGGCAGUAACCCUUCUCCGCCCACCAAUCUGUCCAAAUCAAUCAACUUUUUACAGCGCUCUUCUUUAUGUAUUGGUCAAUAAAGUACUUGUGGUUUCAGGCUAAUGAUAACGACCACUACGUCUAAGCAGUCAAAUGGGAACAAAACAAUUAAGAGACUUUUGACACAUAAAAUCAAAAAGUGAUUAGCUUAAGUCCCCUGAAAGUGACACUCCCACUUCAACACACAAAUACACAAACUGGUGCGGAUCAUUUCACAAGCAUUCUUCUUCUUACGAAGCCGUUUGGCAGCUUAUCAACACCUCCCGGAAUGAGUGCAUGAAUAAUUGAGGCCUCUCCACAAGCCAUCAGUGGCCUGACAAAGUGGAUUGCCGUUUCCAAGCAAGUUAGGGUGUCAGAGUUGAGGAGUUCAGGAAUGAUGGGUGUGAUGAGAAGAGAUGAACACACUCGCACGCACACAUCCAUUACUCUUAAGAAGUUAAGAGGAAUGAACUUUCAGGCAAAAAUUUCAAAAAACCUAGAA